rnacentral:rRNA from 1 species
GACAGAGGAUGCAAGCGUUGUCCGGAAUUAUUGGGCGUAAAGAGCUUGUAGGCGGUUUGUCGCGUCUGCUGUGAAAAUCCGGGGCUCAACCCCGGACUUGCAGUGGGUACGGGCAGACUAGAGUGUGGUAGGGGAGACUGGAAUUCCUGGUGUAGCGGUGAAAUGCGCAGAUAUCAGGAGGAACACCGGUGGCGAAGGCGGGUCUCUGGGCCACUACUGACGCUGAGAAGCGAAAGCAUGGGGAGCGAACAGG